rnacentral:rRNA from 1 species
UACGGGGGGGGCAAGCGUUGUUCGGAAUUACUGGGCGUAAAGGGUUCGUAGGUGGCUCGCUAAGUCAGACGUGAAAUCCCUCAGCUUAACUGGGGAACUGCGUCUGAGACUGGCAAGCUCGAGUGCAGGAGAGGAACGCGGAAUUCCAGGUGUAGCGGUGAAAUGCGUAGAUAUCUGGAGGAACACCGGUGGCGAAGGCGGCAUCCUGGACCACGACUGACGCUGAGUGAGCGAAAGCCAGGGGAGCAAACGGG